rnacentral:rRNA from 2 species
AGCGUACACGGUGGAUGCCCUGGCAGUCAGAGGCGAUGAAGGACGUGCUAAUCUGCGAUAAGCGUCGGUAAGGUGAUAUGAACCGUUAUAACCGGCGAUUUCCGAAUGGGGAAACCCAGUGUGAUUCGUCACACUAUCAUUAACUGAAUCCAUAGGUUAAUGAGGCGAACCGGGGGAACUGAAACAUCUAAGUACCCCGAGGAAAAGAAAUCAACCGAGAUUCCCCCAGUAGCGGCGAGCGAACGGGGAGCAGCCCAGAGCCUGAAUCAGUGUGUGUGUUAGUGGAAGCGUCUGGAAAGGCGUGCGAUACAGGGUGACAGCCCCGUACACAAAAAUGCACAUAUUGUGAGCUCGAUGAGUAGGGCGGGACACGUGGUAUCCUGUCUGAAUAUGGGGGGACCAUCCUCCAAGGCUAAAUACUCCUGACUGACCGAUAGUGAACCAGUACCGUGAGGGAAAGGCGAAAAGAACCCCGGCGAGGGGAGUGAAAAAGAACCUGAAACCGUGUACGUACAAGCAGUGGGAGCACGCUUAGGCGUGUGACUGCGUACCUUUUGUAUAAUGGGUCAGCGACUUAUAUUCUGUAGCAAGGUUAACCGAAUAGGGGAGCCGAAGGGAAACCGAGUCUUAACUGGGCGUUAAGUUGCAGGGUAUAGACCCGAAACCCGGUGAUCUAGCCAUGGGCAGGUUGAAGGUUGGGUAACACUAACUGGAGGACCGAACCGACUAAUGUUGAAAAAUUAGCGGAUGACUUGUGGCUGGGGGUGAAAGGCCAAUCAAACCGGGAGAUAGCUGGUUCUCCCCGAAAGCUAUUUAGGUAGCGCCUCGUGAAUUCAUCUCCGGGGGUAGAGCACUGUUUCGGCAAGGGGGUCAUCCCGACUUACCAACCCGAUGCAAACUGCGAAUACCGGAGAAUGUUAUCACGGGAGACACACGGCGGGUGCUAACGUCCGUCGUGAAGAGGGAAACAACCCAGACCGCCAGCUAAGGUCCCAAAGUCAUGGUUAAGUGGGAAACGAUGUGGGAAGGCCCAGACAGCCAGGAUGUUGGCUUAGAAGCAGCCAUCAUUUAAAGAAAGCGUAAUAGCUCACUGGUCGAGUCGGCCUGCGCGGAAGAUGUAACGGGGCUAAACCAUGCACCGAAGCUGCGGCAGCGACACUAUGUGUUGUUGGGUAGGGGAGCGUUCUGUAAGCCUGUGAAGGUGUACUGUGAGGUAUGCUGGAGGUAUCAGAAGUGCGAAUGCUGACAUAAGUAACGAUAAAGCGGGUGAAAAGCCCGCUCGCCGGAAGACCAAGGGUUCCUGUCCAACGUUAAUCGGGGCAGGGUGAGUCGACUCCUAAGGCGAGGCCGAAAGGCGUAGUCGAUGGGAAACAGGUUAAUAUUCCUGUACUUGGUGUUACUGCGAAGGGGGGACGGAGAAGGCUAUGUUGGCCGGGCGACGGUUGUCCCGGUUUAAGCGUGUAGGCUGGUUUUCCAGGCAAAUCCGGAAAACUAAGGCUGAGGCGUGAUGACGAGGCACUACGGUGCUGAAGCAACAAAUGCCCUGCUUCCAGGAAAAGCCUCUAAGCAUCAGGUAACAUCAAAUCGUACCCCAAACCGACACAGGUGGUCAGGUAGAGAAUACCAAGGCGCUUGAGAGAACUCGGGUGAAGGAACUAGGCAAAAUGGUGCCGUAACUUCGGGAGAAGGCACGCUGAUAUGUAGGUGAAGUCCCUCGCGGAUGGAGCUGAAAUCAGUCGAAGAUACCAGCUGGCUGCAACUGUUUAUUAAAAACACAGCACUGUGCAAACACGAAAGUGGACGUAUACGGUGUGACGCCUGCCCGGUGCCGGAAGGUUAAUUGAUGGGGUCAGCGCAAGCGAAGCUCUUGAUCGAAGCCCCGGUAAACGGCGGCCGUAACUAUAACGGUCCUAAGGUAGCGAAAUUCCUUGUCGGGUAAGUUCCGACCUGCACGAAUGGCGUAAUGAUGGCCAGGCUGUCUCCACCCGAGACUCAGUGAAAUUGAACUCGCUGUGAAGAUGCAGUGUACCCGCGGCAAGACGGAAAGACCCCGUGAACCUUUACUAUAGCUUGACACUGAACAUUGAGCCUUGAUGUGUAGGAUAGGUGGGAGGCUUUGAAGUGUGGACGCCAGUCUGCAUGGAGCCGACCUUGAAAUACCACCCUUUAAUGUUUGAUGUUCUAACGUUGACCCGUAAUCCGGGUUGCGGACAGUGUCUGGUGGGUAGUUUGACUGGGGCGGUCUCCUCCUAAAGAGUAACGGAGGAGCACGAAGGUUGGCUAAUCCUGGUCGGACAUCAGGAGGUUAGUGCAAUGGCAUAAGCCAGCUUGACUGCGAGCGUGACGGCGCGAGCAGGUGCGAAAGCAGGUCAUAGUGAUCCGGUGGUUCUGAAUGGAAGGGCCAUCGCUCAACGGAUAAAAGGUACUCCGGGGAUAACAGGCUGAUACCGCCCAAGAGUUCAUAUCGACGGCGGUGUUUGGCACCUCGAUGUCGGCUCAUCACAUCCUGGGGCUGAAGUAGGUCCCAAGGGUAUGGCUGUUCGCCAUUUAAAGUGGUACGCGAGCUGGGUUUAGAACGUCGUGAGACAGUUCGGUCCCUAUCUGCCGUGGGCGCUGGAGAACUGAGGGGGGCUGCUCCUAGUACGAGAGGACCGGAGUGGACGCAUCACUGGUGUUCGGGUUGUCAUGCCAAUGGCACUGCCCGGUAGCUAAAUGCGGAAGAGAUAAGUGCUGAAAGCAUCUAAGCACGAAACUUGCCCCGAGAUGAGUUCUCCCUGACUCCUUGA